UACGGAGGGUGCAAGCGUUAAUCGGAAUUACUGGGCGUAAAGCGCACGCAGGCGGUCUGUCAAGUCGGAUGUGAAAUCCCCGGGCUCAACCUGGGAACUGCAUUCGAAACUGGCAGGCUUGAGUCUUGUAGAGGGGGGUAGAAUUCCAGGUGUAGCGGUGAAAUGCGUAGAGAUCUGGAGGAAUACCGGUGGCGAAGGCGGCCCCCUGGACAAAGACUGACGCUCAGGUGCGAAAGC
rnacentral:rRNA from 1 species